GAUGAACGCUGGCGGCGUGCCUAAUACAUGCAAGUCGAGCGAACAGACGAGGAGCUUGCUCCUCUAACGUUAGCGGCGGACGGGUGAGUAACACGUGGAUAACCUACCUAUAAGACUGGGAUAACUUCGGGAAACCGGAGCUAAUACCGGAUAAUAUAUUGAACCGCAUGGUUCAAUAGUGAAAGACGGUUUUGCUGUCACUUAUAGAUGGAUCCGCGCCGCAUUAGCUAGUUGGUAAGGUAACAGCUUACCAAGGCAACGAUGCAUAGCCGACCUGAGAGGGGGUGGGGCAACAGGGGAAAUGAGACAGGGCCCAGAACCAUAGGGGGGGAAGGAGUGGGGAAUUUUCCGAAAGGGGCGAAAGCCGGAAGGAGAAACGCCGGGGGAGGGAGAAAGGUUUGGGGAUCGAAAAACGUUUUUAUGAGGGAAAAACAAAUGGGAAAGUAAAAAUGCAGGUCUGGAGGGGACCUAAACAAAAAGCCAGGGCUAAAUGCGG
rnacentral:rRNA from 1 species